rnacentral:lncRNA from 1 species
GCUACAGAGCGGGGCGGUAGACCGACCGCCGUCGACAUUCACGAGGCACAGCAGCGCCACCUGGCGGCUCUGCCUUCCCCCGCGACAGAGGAGCGGCUUCCGUGGAGCGACAAGACGCGCCCGCAGGCGACUUCCACUCAGCCCGCCAGCCAGGGAAGGAAGCUCUGCAAAGGACAAAGAAGGCUGAGCCUGGGGGAAGGUUCUCCGGUGGGCAGAACCUAUAGUGUCUUCAGCCUCCUGUCUGCCUCAGCUUUUUAUACAGUAAGUGCUCAACAAAUGGUCAACAAAGUAAAUUGCAUCUAGUCUUGCAGCUUCUUGAACACGCUUUGUGGUGUGUGCCCUGUUUGUGGUUGCUUAGUUGCGAAGUUUCAUCCGCCUCUUUUGUGACCCCGUGAACUGUAGCCCACCCGGCUCCUCUGUCCAUGGGAUUUUUCCAGGCAAGAAUACUGGAAUGGGUUGCCACGCCCUCCUCCAGGGGAUCUUCCCAACCCAGGGAUAGAACCCGCAUCUCCUGCACUGGCAGGCGGAUUCUUUGCCCCUGAGCCACCAAGAAAGCCCCUUAAACCAGUUAGUCUAUAGCAUUUCGUUAUGCCAGCCUGAGUAGUGGUGAAGUGUUUCUGAAACAACUUCCGUGACCCACCAAGGAAUGAAAGUCAGACAGGAAAUUCCGGAAUGCCGUGAUCCUGAACAUCCACGCAUCCCUUCCCUCUCUUGAUUCUUACAGAAAUACUUGUCAAACACCUGCCAGGUGUCAGACCCUGUGCCAGGCACUCAAAACUGUGGAAACUAGAGCGGAGUCCCCGCCUUGUGGAGCUGACAUUUGAAAGGGCCAAGGCAUCAGAUCAUGACAAUGUCAUUAAAACAGGUAAGGGCUAUGGAGGAUGUGCGUGGUUCUUCUCUGAACUUCUAGUCCCUUUCAGGGAUAGAGGGCCUGGCUCAGGCAGCAGAGCUGAGUCCAGA